UACGAAGGGGGCUAGCGUUGCUCGGAAUCACUGGGCGUAAAGCGCACGUAGGCGGAUUUCUAAGUCAGGGGUGAAAUCCUGGAGCUCAACUCCAGAACUGCCUUUGAUACUGUGAAUCUCGAGUCCGGGAGAGGUGAGUGGAACUGCGAGUGUAGAGGUGAAAUUCGUAGAUAUUCGCAAGAACACCAGUGGCGAAGGCGGCUCACUGGCCCGGUACUGACGCUGAGGUGCGAAAGCGUGGGGAGCAAACAGG
rnacentral:rRNA from 1 species